CACGUAGGGCGCAAGCGUUGUCCGGAAUUAUUGGGCGUAAAGAGCUCGUAGGUGGUUUGUUACGUCUGCUGUGAAAACCUAGGGCUUAACCCUGGGCUUGCAGUGGAUACGGGCAGACUAGAGGUAGGUAGGGGAGAAUGGAAUUCCUGGUGUAGCGGUGAAAUGCGCAGAUAUCUGGAGGAACACCGGUGGCGAAGGCGGCAUCCUGGACCGACACUGACGCUGAGGAGCGAAAGCCAGGGGAGCAAACGGG
rnacentral:rRNA from 1 species